UGUUUUUGAAACGCUCUCUCUCUCUCUCUGGUGCAGAUGAGAGAUUGAGUUCUAGCUGGCCUGAAUAAAGGCUCUUUGCUUUUAUAUUGGUGUUGGCUCCUCGGUGGUCUUCUGGGUUCGUGACUUUGGGCAUAACAUUUGGGGGCUUGUCUGGAAUCCCAGAGGCCCCCAGGACCCCCAACCCGGAGGGCCAGUGGCUGGUCUGGCCUAAGCUGAAAGCUCUUUAUGAGACCAGAACCCCUCCAGAACCGCACCGCUACCAUCCAGGUGACUGGGUGUACGUCUGGAGACACCAACACCAGACACUUCAACCACACUGGAAGGGACCCUACAUCGUGAUCCUGACCACUCCCACCGCUCUCAAGGUUGACGGGAUUACUCUCUGGGUCCACUGCACCCACGUCCGACCAGCUGACCCACAUGCUGUUCUCAAGGACUUUGUUCCAGGAUGGAAAAGUCAGCCAGACAAAGACAAUCCUCUAAAGCUAAGACUGCACCCUUCUCACUUACCCCACUAAUGUUGCUUAUGCUAUGCCUUCCUCAUGCCAAAACCCGCGACCCUAACCCUCAUACCCCCUAUAAUAGUACAUGGCAAAUCAUUACCCCAGCUUCCCAACAGGUAGUAGUCCAGUUAAUGGGACAAUACCAUAGGGGGACCUGGUGGCCUACCCUCACUGUGGACCUGUGCACUCUCUUUAAACAAGACCCUUGGCACGAAGGUAGAAUAGGGAUACCAGGAUGCGGUACCCAGACUUCCAUGAAAGAACUCCAAAAUACCUGCUUCUAUGUAUGUCCAGGCUCCCAGGCCGACAGUGCCAAGAUCUCACAGUGUGGUGGGUGGGCAGAUUUUUUCUGUAAAAAUUGGGGUUGUGAACAGACUGGGACAUGCUAUUGGCUGACAGGAAAGCCUCCCCCAGGCCUCAUAAAAAUCCAACGAAAUACAUCUCACACCCAAUGCACGACUAAUCCCACCUGCAACCUAAUUGACAUCUCCUUUACAGAUGCAGGAAAAAAAGAAACAAACUGGGAAGAAGGGCAUACGUGGGGACUACGACUCUACCAGAGCGGAUAUGAUAAUGGGGUCUUGUUUAUGCUCAGGCGACUCGAAAGGCCUCUAGCCAGGCCCCAGAGAAUAGGCCCAAACCCUGUGCUAGCACCUCCUCCACCCAAACCUCAGACAACUCCUAUCUCCCCAUCGCCCUCCCCUAUACCUGCCAUAACGUCUGCGUCCAAUAACACCUCUGAUGCAGACACAAUCACCCCCAUCCUGACCUCCCUCCCACAGGACCCUCCCUUCCACAGCCCCUCUCAACAUCCACUUUGAGAUCUGAUGUUCCAAGCUUACAGGUUCCUCAAUGCAACCAAAUCCAAUCUUACCCGAUCUUGCUGGCCUUGCUGUGACAUCCAGCCUCCCUUCUAUGAGGGAAUCGCAAUGUUGGGUCAUUACAACACAACUUCCAACCCUAAUGCCUGUAGAUGGCACCAAAAGACUCAAGGAUUCACUUUAUAGUCAGUGUCAGGUUACGGCCUCUGUUUAGGAAACCCCCCCUUCAAUAUCAACCCCUCUGUAACAAAACCAUAAACCCCUCUAGUCCAGACUAUUAUGUACCCGCCCAAGAAGGAUGGUGGGCCUGCUCGACAGGCCUGACACCUUGUGUCCAUGGGCAGGUCUUAAAUAAGACUAAAGGAUUUUGUGUCUUAGUCCAGCUUCUUCCUAAAAUCCUUUAUCACUCAGAAGAAGAAAUAUAUCAGAUAUUUGAGUGAGAUCAGACGUGCUAGGAGAGAACCCAUUUCAGCAUUAACAAUUGCAAUGCUCUUUGGAAUAGGGCUGACAGGAGUUGGGACUGGAGUAGCUUCAUUAAUGAUGCAAAGCUCCCAUUAUAACAGCUUGAGAGCUGCAAUAGAUUUAGAACUUGAGAGAAUAGAAACCUCCAUCUCCCACCUUCAAGAAUCCUUAACCUCUUUAUCAGAAGUUGUCCUCCAGAACAGGAGAAGUUUAGGCUUAAUUUUCUUACAACAAGGAGGGUUAUGUGCAGCCCUAGGGGAAGAAUGCUGUUUCUUUACAGAUCACUCGGGAAUUGUCAAAGAAUCUAUGGCUAAAGUCCGGGAAGGCUUGGCCAAACGCAAGAGAGAACAGGAACAACAACAAGGAUGGUUUGAAUCUCUAUUUAACAAUUCCCCAUGGUUAACAACCUUAGUCUCCACCCUAAUGGGCCCUCUAGUUAUACUGUUACUCUUGCUUACCUUUGGACCAUGUAUCCUCAAUAGACUGAUGACUCUUAUCAAAGAUAGAAUUAAUACAGUCCAGCUAAUGGUGCUAAGACAGCAGUAUCAGCCUUUGUCUCCUUACAACUGUGAAACCCCAUUAGACCCAUGAUUGGGUCCCCUCUUACGAUCCAAAGAGACUGGGUGAAUGAAAGGGCAAACCAGGGACCAACUCCAUUUUGUUCUGUGUCCUCCAUCUUAAAUAACUAUGUCCCCAACAUGACCCCUUUCCGGGAGAGUUCCCGCGCAAACUACUCCAGCCAAUCGGGACCCGGAUCCUACUCCAGCCAAUCGAGACCCAGAUCCUACUCCAGCCAAUCGGGACUCGGGUUCUCCUCCCACCAGUCAGCAAGAAGCCCACCAACUCCCCAACCAAUCUGCCAGAGCCAUGACCAUCACCCCGCCAACUACUCCUAGACCCAGUCAAUCAGCCAAGACCCCGCCCCUUACCUUACCCCACCAACUGCCCCUAUAGCCCCAUAAAACCUUUGUGUUUUUGAAACUCUCUCUCUCGCUCUCUCUCUCUCUCUCUCUCUCUCUCUGGAAUCUCACCCCUGCUUUGGUGCAGAUGAGAGAUUGAGCUCCAGCUGGCUUGAAUAAAGGCUCUUUGCUUUUGCAUU